GGGAUUUGGUUAUAUAUAGAUUAACACUUGGAGAGUUGAGUUUUCUGUUAGUAAGAGUAUAAAUUUAUACAUAACUAUGCUAGUAUAUAUAUAGUUCUAUAGAGUGUUUGCAUGUGUGUGUGUGUGUGUGUGUGUGUGUGUGUGUAUGUAUGCAUACACAGGCACGUGCACACACACAAAACUACUUCCA